rnacentral:lncRNA from 1 species
UGGAAAGUUGCAAGAAAUUAGAUUUCAGAGGUAGAGAUGUUUCAACAAAAAUACCCAACAGCUUUAAUUUGGUUUCUGAUAACUGGGCUCUGGAUUUGCAGUUGUUAAGUUUUUCUCUGUUUCUGUUUUCUGUUGCAGAAAGAAAGGGUGCCUUUGAGAGAUUUAUUAUUUCCAUGUCUCUGGAUAUAUUAUAUACAUACAAAUAUGUGCAUAGUUAGCAUGGCUGAUAGAAGUCACCUGUUCACCUCUGGUGUGACCCAUGUGAGGAAUUUUUUUGAAGACAAAAAUUCAAAACACCUUUUCACUUUUGUCUCAGCUGGACCAAGAGAAGAAAGACAUCAACACUUAUCAAAAUCUAAGUUAAGAUUGAAAAAGCACAGAGGCACAGAAGAGCGUAUUAAAGUCUUUCUCCAAUGGGAAGCCUUUUGCUCCAAUUUAUGGUCACGGUCCAAGGCCAGGUCUACCCAGGAGCAGCCAGUUCAUAUUGGUGUAAGAGGGAAGAGUCCAUAUGUGCAAACUCCCAAACCCAAACCUUCAAAAGAAGGUGGCAACCAAUUUUUUUUUGGAGGAAUGAG